GUGCUCGCUUUGACAGCGACAUUUACUAUAAAAUUGGACGGACGCAGAGAAGGGAUUAGCAUGGCCCCGCGACAAGGAUGAACCACGCGAAUUCGUGAAGCGUUCCAUUUAAAA
rnacentral:snRNA from 14 species